AUUGAACGCUGGCGGAAUGCUUUACACAUGCAAGUCGAGCGGCAGCGCGGGGCAACCUGGCGGCGAGCGGCGAACGGGUGAGUAAUAUAUCGGAACGUGCCCAAUCGUGGGGGAUAACGUAGCGAAAGUUACGCUAAUACCGCAUACGAUCUACGGAUGAAAGCGGGGGAUCGCAAGACCUCGCGCGAAUGGAGCGGCCGAUAUCAGAUUAGGUAGUUGGUGGGGUAAAGGCUCACCAAGCCAACGAUCUGUAGCUGGUCUGAGAGGACGACCAGCCACACUGGAACUGAGACACGGUCCAGACUCCUACGGGAGGCAGCAGUGGGGAAUUUUGGACAAUGGGCGCAAGCCUGAUCCAGCCAUUCCGCGUGCAGGAUGAAGGCCUUCGGGUUGUAAACUGCUUUUGUACGGAACGAAACGGUCUGCCCUAAUACGGCGGGCUAAUGACGGUACCGUAAGAAUAAGCACCGGCUAACUACGUG
rnacentral:rRNA from 1 species